rnacentral:lncRNA from 1 species
ACAAAAUAAGAUGAAAAUCGUGACGAUAUCAAUCAAUCACACAAAAAUCAAUAAGAAUAAGAUUAGAGAGAUGGACCUUAAAUAGAGUAUUUUGAACUGUGAUUAUUAUUUGAUCGAACUUUUGAUUUCAAACCGAGCAGCUGACAAGAGCUCACGAACUGGACCUCAUCGAAACCUCAACAAAUAGUGACAUCUCCAAUUUUUUCCAUGACACUUUUUGGCUUUCGCUGACCGAAACCAAAAAUCACAAGAGAAAUAUACAAAUAGAUCAAAAACCAAGCCAUUACCGGAGAAAACCGAGAAAAACCGUGAGAUAUGUCAUCGGAUUUUUGACCGGAUCUUGCCAGAAUCUGUUGGUUUGGUCGCUGCUCUGUAUUUCGCAGUGAUGGAGACUCAUUUCCGGCUUUCGAUGGUGCCUGAAUCCGCUGAACGAACAUAAAUUCAGCAAUUUUGAGAUUAAACCGAUCGAACAACGACUACAAACCAACUCAGGUGAAAUUUCGCUGGAAACCCAAGAGAGACGAUCGGAUUUCUUAAAAAUCACUUUAUUCUCGACCCUUUUUCACAGUAUGUGCGCGUGUGUGCAGGUAUUAUGAGGAUUUUGAAUAUGGAUUCCCCUAAUUGCUUAUUGGAAUAUAAUCGUGAGUAUAUAUAUGAGUGUGUGUGUGAUUAUCUGUGGUGUAUGAUGUGUGAUUUUUGAUGACAGUGAGGCGCGCGUGUAUGUACUGUGUUGUUUAUUGUUGGUCAAGGAAAAUGGAAAAAUGGAGAAGUCUCCGGGGAAUUGUGAAUCUGUGCCAGUAAAAAGGAAAAAUGGGGUCUUGGGUAUCGCAGUCGAUAGAGAAUGUGAUUGUGAGAGUG